CAGUAGCCGCGGGAAUACAGAGGACGCAAGCGUUAUCCGGAAUGAUUGGGCGUAAAGCGUGCGCAGGCGGUUCGUUAAGACAGAUGUGAAAUCCCCGGGCUUAACCUGGGAACUGCAUUUGUGACUGGCGAGCUAGAGUAUGGCAGAGGGGGGUAGAAUUCCACGUGUAGCAGUGAAAUGCGUAGAGAUGUGGAGGAAUACCGAUGGCGAAGGCAGCCCCCUGGGCCAAUACUGACGCUCAUGCACGAAAGCGUGGGGAGCAAACAGGAUUAGAGACCCCUGUAGUCCCUGUCUCUUAUAA
rnacentral:rRNA from 1 species